AGGACGAACGCUGGCGGCGUGCUUAACACAUGCAAGUCAAGGGGGCCCAGCAAUGGGCAACCGGCGAACGGGUGCGUAACACGUGAGCAACCUACCGAACUGUGGGGGAUAGCCGGCCUAACGGCCGAGUAAUACCGCAUACGCUCUCAGAGAGGCAUUUCUUUGAGAGGAAACCUACGGGACAGAUCGAGGGGCUCGCGGCCUAUCAGCUAGUUGGCGAGGUAACGGCUCACCAAGGCAACGACGGGU
rnacentral:rRNA from 1 species